rnacentral:rRNA from 1 species
AGAGUUUGAUCCUGGCUCAGGAUGAACGCUAGCGACAGGCUUAACACAUGCAAGUCGAGGGGCAGCAUGAUUUGUAGCAAUACAGAUUGAUGGCGACCGGCGCACGGGUGAGUAACGCGUAUGCAACUUACCUAUCAGAGGGGGAUAGCCCGGCGAAAGUCGGAUUAAUACCCCAUAAAACAGGGGUCCCGCAUGGGAAUAUUUGUUAAAGAUUCAUCGCUGAUAGAUAGGCAUGCGUUCCAUUAGGCAGUUGGCGGGGUAACGGCCCACCAAACCGACGAUGGAUAGGGGUUCUGAGAGGAAGGCCCCCCACAUUGGUACUGAGACACGGACCAAACUCCUACGGGAGGCAGCAGUGAGGAAUAUUGGUCAAUGGCCGAGAGGCUGAACCAGCCAAGUCGCGUGAAGGAAGAAGGAUCUAUGGUUUGUAAACUUCUUUUAUAGGGGAAUAAAGUGGAGGACGUGUCCUUUUUUGUAUGUACCCUAUGAAUAAGCAUCGGCUAACUCCGUGCCAGCAGCCGCGGUAAUACGGAGGAUGCGAGCGUUAUCCGGAUUUAUUGGGUUUAAAGGGUGCGUAGGUGGUGAUUUAAGUCAGCGGUGAAAGUUUGUGGCUCAACCAUAAAAUUGCCGUUGAAACUGGGUUACUUGAGUGUGUUUGAGGUAGGCGGAAUGCGUGGUGUAGCGGUGAAAUGCAUAGAUAUCACGCAGAACUCCGAUUGCGAAGGCAGCUUACUAAACCAUAACUGACACUGAAGCACGAAAGCGUGGGGAUCAAACAGGAUUAGAUACCCUGGUAGUCCACGCAGUAAACGAUGAUUACUAGGAGUUUGCGAUACAAUGUAAGCUCUACAGCGAAAGCGUUAAGUAAUCCACCUGGGGAGUACGCCGGCAACGGUGAAACUCAAAGGAAUUGACGGGGGCCC